GUUAUAAUUUGUCAUGAUGCUGAUAGUGAAUUCGAAGGUACUGCUGCGGUUUGAUGUCCGUCACGUUGACAUGACGUUCCCGUACAAAAUCUGUAGAAUCAAGUUUUUUUUACAGCAAAAGCUGCUCCGCUAAUAUUAAAUUUCACUUUGAGAGGCAACGUAGCUCUUUUAUUUUGCGCUUUUUAUAUGAGUGGUGAGUACUUCUUCCUUAUUGAAAACCAAUCGUUAGAAUGAGUACUUCUAUCGUAAAGAAUUUUAUCGUUCCCUCAAUGGUAAUUCUGACUAUGACAAAAUCUACGAUGGUUAAUGCGGUGCCACUGCCCGCAAACAGUGCGACUCCUGUACUGGUUGCAAAUCCAGUCCCUUCUAUCGGUGCUAAUCCAUCAGGUAGUACCAGUGCAGGCACCGGAAAUGCUGCCUCUCGCGUCGAUCCGAUGGUUGGUGGUAGCGGUGUGCCUUCCAACUGCCAAACUUCCAUCUGUGCACAAUGUUCACUAACCCAGGAACUCGAGAAAGUCGUCGGCAUAUCGGUGUAUUGCAUACAAAACUGCGGAAUCUGCCUCCCCGGCAGGUGAAUUGAGCAAAUUUGGUGAAUACAUCUGGUUCUACCACGUUAAAGCAUCGUUGAUGGCUCACAUAGGUGUUAAACAAAUUACUGACUGUUGUGGAAAAUACCGCAGCGCUCACAGUCGUUGUUGUACUAUGUUUAUUUAUAAUACAAAAGGUGCAAGGCACUUGUAAUUUGCAGCUUUCAUUUCGUUAGUCCCUUGGCGUUUACUCUGCUUUAAAAGUUACACUUGCAUACGUACCAAAAUUUUAGGCUACUCGUAAGAACUUGUAACUGUUGUGCUUGCUAUAAGGAAACUAUAACUUAGUACGUGAAGUGUUGAGAGAAAGCCUCAAGUGAA